UAGCUCAGUUGGUAGAGCAGUUGACUUUUAAUCAAUUGGUCGCAGGUUCGAAUNAACAUCAAACUCAGAUGUUAAGCGUGAAGGAUAACGUUGCGUCAGCCACGGCCCGUAGGGCGAGCGAAAGCGAGUCAUCCUGCACGACCCACCA
rnacentral:tRNA from 1 species